rnacentral:rRNA from 1 species
AGCGUAGGCGGAAUUGCAAGUCAGAUGUGAAACUAUGGGCUUAACCCAUAGACUGCAUUUGAAACUGUAGUUCUUGAGUGAAGUAGAGGUAAGCGGAAUUCCUAGUGUAGCGGUGAAAUGCGUAGAUAUUAGGAGGAACAUCGGUGGCGAAGGCGGCUUACUGGGCUUUUACUGACGCUGAGGCUCGAAAGCGUGGGAGCAAACA